CUAUACGGGGAGGGGCUAUAAGCUCGUAAACCAUUGAUAUAUAUUUCUGGAUUGGUUUUUGCCUAUUUGCUGCUAAAGACAGAGACGUGCGCGCGCAGGCGUCAUUGCUAUUGCUUGUCGACAGAACGCUAGAGGACAGGCAGACAUCAACCACAAAAAUCGGGCUAGCUCCCUCUAGCUUAACCGGUUUUCACAAAUCAAAGUUUGGAAAAUGAUCGAUCUUGUGUCAUAUUUAAAUAUUAAUUAUCUCUAAAGAUUCAUCUGUAAAUACAGCAAGAAUUGUGUCUUCUACUGUUAAAUUAACAGCUUCUAAAUAUCUGAGAUUUUCUAUUUUGCCUCUGUGCUAAAAUCUAUAGAACGGAGCUUGUAAACGCUCGUCACCCAAGACCAGAAAAAGGGAGAUUGAUGAAGUUUAAUGGAAUGAAUGACUGACAACGUUUAGUAACAAAGGCCUUUCCCUAUUAAAAAAAAACACCUCAAACUGCUCCGCGUUUAUGUCACUGAGCAGACGGUUAGCGUUAGCGCUGCAUUUCCUAGCUGGGCUUUCUCCGGUCCGUACAACCAAGAAAGAAUAUCAACGCUGGCGGCACGUAUUUAGAAAAUUGUAUGUGAUUUCAUUUUCUUGCAAAAAAAAAAAAAAAACAUUUAGCCUAGCUACGUGCUACUUUGCUAGCACAGCAACAUGCAUCUUAGCCGCACACAUUACCUGUUUCCAGCAUGAUUACAUCAGUUUUUGUGCUGAUUUCAUGUAAAUACAAGCGAAUAAAACAUGAAAAAUCAAUAAAAAGUGCAUCGAUGAACUAAGCUAGCAUGCUACCCCCGAGUAGCUAGCACCCACUUUAGCGCAAACUUCACGGUUUCCAGCCUGAUUUCUCUAUCCUAAAAUGCGAUCACUGUCCUGUGGUGAUUCCUCUCGAUCGGAUUAUUUUGUUGUCGUGUUUCUUGCAGUUGAUUGUAAAACGUUGCGUCCCCUUUUCUUUGCGUAUUUAUUCGGACCUCCUCCGUUUGUUACUCAGGAAGUCUCAGUGCAAAGCCGUAUGUCAACAGAUGGAUGAUGGGAAGUGGGGGCGGGCUUACUCCAAACCAACAAUCCAACACAACUCAGAGGUGAAUUUCUAAUGAACUACAGUCGUUCAGCAGAAACUAUGUCCAAGAAAAUGACAAUUUUUAAAAUUUUAGCUAAAAACAUAAUUAUAAUAAAAAAAAACAAAAGGAACAAUUCAUCAAAAGACGACUUUAACCGUACAAAACAGUAAAGAGAGAGUCUGAUACUCAAGGCUGG